GAUCCUGGCUCAGGAUGAACGCUGGCGGCGUGCCUAACACAUGCAAGUCGAACGAAGCAAUUGAAGGAAGUUUUCGGAUGGAAUUCGAUUGACUGAGUGGCGGACGGGUGAGUAACGCGUGGAUAACCUGCCUCACACUGGGGGAUAACAGUUAGAAAUGACUGCUAAUACCGCAUAAGCGCACAGUACCGCAUGGUACAGUGUUAAAAACUCCGGUGGUGUGAGAUGGAUCCGCG
rnacentral:rRNA from 1 species